rnacentral:rRNA from 1 species
CACGUAGGGCGCGAGCGUUGUCCGGAAUUAUUGGGCGUAAAGAGCUCGUAGGCGGCCUGUUGCGUCCGCUGUGAAAGCCCGGGGCUUAACCCCGGGUCGGCAGUGGAUACGGGCAGGCUAGAGGUAGGUAGGGGAGAAUGGAAUUCCCGGUGUAGCGGUGAAAUGCGUAGAUAUCAAGUGGAACACCAGUGGCGAAGGCGAGUCUCUGGACAUUUCCUGACGCUGAGGCACGAAAGCCAGGGGAGCAAACGGG